rnacentral:tRNA from 1 species
GGUUCUGUGGCUCACUUGGUUAAAGUGCCUGUCCUGUAGACAGGAAAUCCUGGAUUCAAAUCCCAGUGGUGCUU